GAUUAGCUCAAGCAAUCGUCCAGCAGAGACACACCUCGCCCUCACCAUGUUCAAGCACCUGAUCCUCCUCGCCGCCUUCCUGGCUGUGGCUGCUGCCUACUCGUACGUCGUGUCGUCGCCGGCCGUGGUGUCAGCCACCGUGCCCGUGGUGCACCACACCCGCACCUACCACCAGACGCACACCAACUACGUGCCGUACGUCUACACCUACAGCUCCCCGAUGCACAGCAGCUACGUCUACUACUGAAGGACACUAUAAGCAACGGGAAAAUGGCCUGCAAAUGAUCUGCUCCUCCAUGCUGUUAUAAUUACAAAUGAAAAAUGCCACUGUAAUUCAUUUCCUUAAGAGUAAUUAAAGAGCAUUAAUGUCAA